rnacentral:rRNA from 1 species
ACGCUCGACACCUACGGGAGGCAGCAGUGGGGAAUAUUGCACAAUGGGGGAAACCCUGAUGCAGCGACGCCGCGUGAAGGAAGAAGUAUUUCGGUAUGUAAACUUCUAUCAGCAGGGAAGAAACUGACGGUACCUGACUAAGAAGCACCGGCUAAAUACGUGUCAGCAGCUGCGGUAAUCUGAGCGGGCUGGCAAGGC